rnacentral:rRNA from 1 species
UACGUAGGAUGCAAGCGUUGUCCGGAAUUAUUGGGCGUAAAGAGCUCGUAGGCGGUCUGUCGCGUCUGCUGUGAAAACUCAGGGCUUAACCCUGAGCUUGCAGUGGGUACGGGCAGACUAGAGUGCGGUAGGGGAGACUGGAAUUCCUGGUGUAGCGGUGGAAUGCGCAGAUAUCAGGAGGAACACCGAUGGCGAAGGCAGAUCUCUGGGCCGUAACUGACGCUGAGGAGCGAAAGCGUGGGGAGCGAACAGG